GAUGAACGCUGGCGGCGUGCCUAAUACAUGCAAGUCGAGCGAACGGACGAGAAGCUUGCUUCUUUGAUGUUAGCGGCGGACGGGUGAGUAACACGUGGAUAACCUACCUAUAAGACUGGGAUAACUUCGGGAAACCGGAGCUAAUACCGGAUAAUAUUUUGAACCGCAUGGUUCAAAAGAGAAAUACGGUCUUGGUGGCACUAAUAGCUGGAUCCGCGCUGCAUUAGCUAGUUGGUAAGGUAACGGCUUACCAAGGCAACGAUGCAUAGCCGAACUGAGAGGGUGAUCGGCCACACUGGAACUGAGACACGGUCCAGACUCCUACGGGAGGCAGCAGUAGGGAAUCUUCCGCAAUGGGCGAAAGCCUGACGCAGCAACGCCGCGUGAGUGAUGAAGGUCUUCGGAUCGUAAAGCUCUGUUAUUAGGGAAGAACAUAUGUGUAAUUAACUGUGCACAUCUUGACGGUACCUAAUCAAAAAGCCACGGCUAACUACGUG
rnacentral:rRNA from 1 species